UACGGAGGAUCCGAGCGUUAUCCGGAUUUAUUGGGUUUAAAGGGUGCGUAGGCGGCCUGUUAAGUCAGGGGUGAAAGACGGUAGCUCAACUAUCGCAGUGCCCUUGAUACUGAUGGGCUUGAAUGAACUAGAGGUAGGCGGAAUGUGACAAGUAGCGGUGAAAUGCAUAGAUAUGUCACAGAACACCAAUUGCGAAGGCAGCUUACUAUGGUUUUAUUGACACUGAGGCACGAAAGCGUGGGGAUCAAACAGG
rnacentral:rRNA from 1 species